GCAUAUCAAUAAGCGGAGGAAAAGAAACCAACAGGGAUUGCCCUAGUAACGGCGAGUGAAGCGGCAACAGCUCAAAUUUGAAAGCUGGCUCCGGCCCGCAUUGUAAUUUGCAGAGGAUGCUUUUGGUGAGGUGCCUUCCGAGUUCCCUGGAACGGGACGCCACAGAGGGUGAGAGCCCCGUAUGGAUGGACACCAAACCUGUGUAAAGCUCCUUCAACGAGUCGAGUAGUUUGGGAAUGCUGCUCAAAAUGGGAGGUAAAUCUCUUCUAAAGCUAAAUACCGGCCAGAGACCGAUAGCGCACAAGUAGAGUGAUCGAAAGAUGAAAAGCACCUUGAAAAGGGGGUUAAACAGUACGUGAAAUUGUUGAAAGGGAAGCGUUUGUGACCAGACUUGCGCCGGGCAGCUCAUCAGGGGUUCUCCCCUGUGCACUCUGCCCGGCUCAGGCCAGCAUCGGUUCUCGUGGGAGGAUAAGAACGGUGGGAACGUGGCCCCCUCUCGGGGGGGUGUUAUAGCCCGCCGUACGAUACUCCCGUGGGGACCGAGGUUCGCGCUCCGCAAGGAUGCUGGCGUAAUGGUCAUCAACGACCCGUCUUGAAACACGGACCAAGGAGUCGUCCAUUAGAGCGAGCGUUUGGGUGUCAAACCCGCACGCGUAAUGAAAGUGAACGCAGGUGAGAGCUUCGGCGCAUCAUCGACCGAUCCUGAUGUUCUCGGAUGGAUUUGAGUAAGAGUUUUAACGGACGGACCCGAAAGACAGUGAACUAUGCUUGUAUAGGGUGAAGCCAGAGGAAACUCUGGUGGAGGCUCGCAGCGGUUCUGACGUGCAAAUCGAUCGUCAAAUAUGAGCAUGGGGGCGAAAGACUAAUCGAAC
rnacentral:rRNA from 1 species